CUGAGUGGAGCUAUUUUGACUUAAUCUUCCCAGGCCUCGGUUUCACCCGCCGUCUGAUGGGAUCUUGAGGGUGAUGGUGCAGGUGAGGCGCAGGGGGCACCUUGCCGCAGGCACUGGGCUUCGGCCGGGUCCCCGCUUCCCUUCGCAUGAGCAGCACCUGCGGCUCUGAGAGCCGGGAGCCCGGUGACUGAAGACAUUGAACACUGACACUGAUGCCAAGAAGCCUUCUGCAGGUCGCCAGUGACCAUGGGAAGAAAUGCAACCAAGACUCACCCAAGGGGAUUCAGAUCCAAGAGAGGUCUGAGGAGAAGGGCAGACACGUGGAAUCGCGCUUUCGUUCCCACGAGCAGCUCGCCCACUUCCAACCCAUCCGGGAGCCCCUUGCCCCUCCGAGGUGCUGGUGCCCGCAGGAUACCCCGUGUGCUCCGUGUCCCCGGACAUCUGUCUGGAACGUGGCGGCUCCUUGGACAGUGGGUGGGAGCACGCUCUGGCCCGCGGCCACUCUAGGGGAUGAAAGCCGGUGUAAAUGCUGCUGAACUAA